rnacentral:lncRNA from 1 species
UGUAUGUUUAGGUAUAUUUUUUGUUUUUAUGAUUGCUGAAAAACAAAGGCAAGCCUAUUAGUUUGGAAAAUAAAGUCAAGCCUGUGUGUUCAAAGAUAGUUUGAUUAACUAGUAAGUAGCCAUUUGGCGCCAGUGAGGUGAGAUAGCUAGCUUAUGUUGAUGCAUGUAUGUUUGAUCAAGGCUAGCUAGUUGCAGCAGUUGGAACUAGUACUAGUACAUAAGAGAAGAGACAUUGUGUCAGCAUGUGCAAUCAGGGUUGGGAUGUAUACUUCAUACUAUUCUAUAACUUAACUAGUAGUCCCUGUCAGACAACUAAUUUACAUUGAAGAGGUCCUCCAUUCAUGUAUUAGUACGUACACUCCUUGUUCUUUUUCCUUCAGUUUUGGUCUGUAGAUGUACUUGUAAGUUCUUUCAUCUCGCUUUUGCUUUUCUUUUCAGUAUGUUGUACUCUCUCCAUCUCAAAAUAAAUGUCUCAACUUUGUACUAACGUUAAGUUAUACUAACCUUGAGACACUUAUUUUAGGAUGGAGGGAGUAUUUCUGUAAUAUUUAGCUCUUGUCCCUAAAGCUGAUGCAUCCACUGGCAUGUUAACAUCAUCUCCUGUGUGUUCUUUCUCAAUGAUGUAGAGUAGGGUAGAGCAGGGGUUCUUACUUAUUGUUCUUAUAAACGCUAUGUUAUCAUGCAGGUGGCAGUUGGGCCUAUCUGAAGAGCAAUAAUGUAAUGCUUUUGAGCUUAGGCAAAUGAAGUUGUAUUUAAAAGCGGACGAGAUGAUGUUUGUCAACACGAAACUGAAAAGGUUGGUCCAUCAUCUCUUAGCCAUACAUCCCAUCUAGUUAUGCGCCAAUUUAGUUCUAGACAACAUGCGCAUGGAGAAACAUAUAUGCGAAAAUACAUGUAUCUUCAUCACUACCAUUGAGUUCUGAACUUCUGAUAAGAACACUGCCCUGUCAAUCGACUUCCUUGUUUUGCGACCUGCCCUUUUUUAUUUGAGAUCUUGUGUCUGAGGCACACUGACCACUUGGCUAGCGUACAAUGCCUUUGAAGACCAUGCUACAGGUAACUUGCUUUGGAACCUUUUUUUAGUUGAUUUCUUAGCUUACCACAUUGCCUAGGUGGUACUACUGUACUAUAUAUAUAUAUAUAAUGUAUGCACCUGCUUGUGCCCUAUUUUCCUAGAUGUGGCUCAUAACUGAGAUAUCUAUCUAGGUACUAGCUAUUUUCUUUACACUAAAUCUAUCUUAAUUAAGGUGCGAGGGGUAAAAUUUUGUUGAACUCAUAUAGGAUUUUUUUCCCUGUAUCACAUGGCCAUCUUGGUCUAACUAUAGCACAUGUGGGUUCUGGAGAUAUGAUGAAUACAGUUAAUUAGAAAACUGCCAUGUGCUCAGUGGCGGAGGCAGGAUUCGAGUAUAGGGGGGGAGUACGUAUAUUGAUCUAAUCUCGUUGGUAAUUACUCGUCGCUCCUACUAAAACUGUCGAUCAUUGGGGGGGGGGCCUGCUCGUCCCCCUGGCUCCACCCCUACAUGUGCUUGGAAUUAUACGAAUGUUUCAAGUAAUUCAAAAAGCAGGAUGUGUUCUGAACUGUUGGAAACUUAUUAUAAAAUUGAAAUCGAUGCGGUUUAUUGGUAGAUUAUUUCUUUAGUAUACAGACCAACGUGUAGUCCUCAAUCUUUAUUAUUUUGAGUAUGUGUUCCUGCUGAUUCAUGUUACCCUGAAAAUUGCAUGUGAAGGAUCAAAAGGUAAAUAUGUAGUCAUACUGCUAGAUAGCAGCUAACUAGUCAGUUAUAAGAUCUAAGUUUUGUCGCGGUAUGCUCAAUUAAAUUUCAACUACAUUACAUCAUUUUCGUCUCCUUACAACUAGUCUAAUCAUUUCUUAGGGAUGUGAAACAAUACUGGAGGAAUCGUGAUCUAUGGCAAGGGUGAUGAUGUCUAUGGCGAUGAUUCUCAUGAUCUAUAUGGUGAUGAGCGGUAUGAUCCAUAUGGUGAUGAAGGGUGAUGAGUCUAAUGAUCUUUCUUCAGGACAUGCAACAAAGUGAACUUCUGAAGUUUUGGUCAAUUUUAGCUUAGGAAUAAUGCUUGGACCAUUAUAUAUAGUUACUAUUUUGUUUUGCAUUUCAAACUUCCUAGAUAGAUCAUGAUGAACAAUGUAAUUUGGAUGCACGUCAUUUGGGCUAUGGUAUUUUAAAAUUUGCGCUAAAUAUAAUAUAUGUUACUU